rnacentral:misc_RNA from 1 species
AGCAGCCGCGGUAAUUCCAGCUCCAAUAGCGUAUAUUAAAGUUGUUGCAGUUAAAAGCUCGUAGUUGAAUUUCGGGAUCAAUAUGUUGGUCGUGCCUCGGUACGUACUAGCUUAUUGGUUUCUCCUUUCUGAAGAACCAUGAUGUCAUUUAUUUGGUGUCGUGGGGAAUCAGGACUGUUACUUUGAAAAAUUGAGUGUUUAAAGCAGGCUCACGCUUGAAUACAUUAGCAUGGAAUAAUGAAAUAGGACGUUUGAUUCUAUUUUGUUGGUUUCUAGGAUCGACGUAAUGAUUAAUAGGGAUAGUUGGGGGCAUUAGUAUUCAAUUGUCAGAGGUGAAAUUCUUGGAUUUAUUGAAGACUAACUACUGCGAAAGCAUUUGCCAAGGAUGUUUUCAUUAAUCAAGAACGAAAGUUAGGGAUCGAAGACGAUCAGAUACCGUCGUAGUCUUAACCAUAAACUAUGCCGACUAGGGAUCGGAUGAUGUUAAUUUUUAUGUACUUCAUUCGG